rnacentral:rRNA from 1 species
GACCCCAUGCCGAACUCAGAAGUGAAACGCCGUAGCGCCGAUGGUAGUGUGGGGUCUCCCCAUGUGAGAGUAGGGAACUGCCAGAC